UGAUGUGACAUUUUCAAAAAAGAGCUGCAAUAUUCUUGGACAUUUAUCUUGUGAUAAAAAGUAUGGUUUAAUGAACAAUGAGGACCAGAAGAAAAAGGAAACUCAUAAUAGAUGAAAGGAUGAGUAUUUCUGCUGAAGAAAUGAAAAGUCAACUAUCUGAUACCUCAGAUAUCAUAGCCAUCUUUGAUUCUGCUCCUCCAACAAAAAAAUUGAUGAAAUGGAAAGAAACGGCUGGAGUGGAGAAGCUUUUUGGUAUUCCUGGACAUCAAAUUCCCUCAAAAGCUUUAUCCGAGGGAUUUUUAAAACAUUUGACAACUAGGGUGCUUGAGAAUGAGGAGUUAUCUGAAGAAGAAAUUGAGAAAACAAAACUUGGUAAAUCAGAAAAUGGACCAUCUGCAAAACAAAAGAGUAAAUCCAAAAAAGGUUUAUCCAUGGAUCAGUUAAUACAUUUUUGUGCUCCCACCAAUGUCUCUAACUACUUAAAGUCCUCCUCUUCCAUUUCCAAUGUUGUACUUAUUACACGUGGUUUAUCAACAGAUUCUUCCCACUGAAUCAAUCUUUCAUGGAUUCCAAAGAACAGGUUAAAAAAAAAAAAGCUGCAUUGUCUAAAGUUUCUUUUCCUUGGAUAUAUAAGCAAUCUGCUAUGUGAUGUUUCAUUAAUAACUACUUCUUGAAACACAGGGGAUGCUUGAUGAUAACCGUAUGAAGAAGAAAUUAUAAGCCAAACAACAGCAGCAGCCGGGAGAAAGCAUCAUCAUGCAAACUUCAAGAGUUGGGUUAUGCAAGAGUUUCUACGUGUGAAUCAAUAGCAGACAAUUUAACAAAACGAUGCCUGAGCAAAAAAAUACUUAAAAAUACCAUGAACUUAAAGAAGCAAAACAUAACCUACUUUUUCUUCUAUGAAUACUGAUUGGGAGAUCAAUGUUUCACACAGCAGCAUUGUAGUUUUUCCCUCGCCUUUCUUCGAGAGGAUAACAUUUCUACCUGUAAAAAUAUAAAUUAUUUUUCUAAUAGAGAUUAUCUUUUGUACCUGUUAAAAGUGGGUUUCUGUUGGAUUAUUAUGUAAAUAGGAUUUUUUUCGAUAUCGGAACAAAGGAUAGUAUGUGCAGUACCUACAGAUGAUUGCUAGAAAAAUUUUAUAUAAAGUGUGAAUGGAAAAAAAGAUUUUUAACUCGUUUGAUCAAAUCUUUUUUAGUUUGUCUUUUCUCUUUUUUUAAUUUAAAGAAGAAAUAGUGACAGCAGAUGGAUUAAGUAUAGUGACGACGAAGCUCUCUCAGCUAAAGUGUUGGAAUGUGAUAGUCAACUGGGAUCUAACAUGGCUGUGAGAAUUUUAUAGUUGUCUUCUCAAAACAAUUUUGUGAUUGUCAUUGAGAAAUGUUUGUGUCCUGCAAAACUGCUGAAGUGUGCGUGAGAUCAAGACAUCUAGUACUAUAAUCUAUUAUUGGUGCUGCAAACUAAAUGGAAUCAUCUAUGGUGUGCUUAGCAGUGAAGAGCUCCUAUUGAUUUAGUUAACCUUCCUAACUAAAAUGAAGCACUCUUUUGAACUAAUUGAUUUGAUUGGUGUGAAUUGAAAUUUGAUUUAUUCACUGCCAAGUGUUACAUUAAGUUACUUACGAUUUUAUCUUAUUGCUGAUGUGAGUUUAAUUUACGCCAUACACUUUCAUCAGUGUUAUUUGUUAAAUAUUAAUAAAAAUUGUUUUAUUUGUUUCA
rnacentral:misc_RNA from 1 species